UUUACCCCUAGUGUCAGGCUAGGUUUGCCCUAAGUCGUCGAGUUUAUCUCUAAAAAAACUCCAAAAUUUUCUACCACCAAGAACAUUCCACCCCUAAAAUGACAAUUGACAAUAGAGAAAAAAAGCCAAACUUCAUAACAAAUUCAAAAGGAAAAUUUCAAUAAUUCUUAAGCCAUGAACAAUCAAUUUAGAUCAAACGACUGAAUGAUUUUCAAUCUAAAAAACACCCAAAAUUUCCUACCACCAGGAUCAUUCUAGCCCUAAAAUGACAAUAGAGAAAAAAAGCCAAACUCCAUAACGAAUUCAUAAGAAAAACUUCAAUAAUUCUCAAGCUAUGAGCAAACCAUCCCUUCAUAUUCAAUGAUAAAUCAAAUACAACAAAUUUCAACAAACAAUAACCCAACAAUACAUUUUAACGAUUUUAUUCCAUAAAUCUGCUAUAUAUUUAUUUAAUAAAAAAUAGUUAAAAAACUCUUCUAUAUCUUUGAUGAGGUUGAG
rnacentral:lncRNA from 1 species